UUACGAUAAGGGCAAACCCUAAGUGAUUAGGGGACGCAAAGUGAAUAGGGUCUUUAAAUUUCAAUAAAGACAGCCUUACUACCGAA
rnacentral:ncRNA from 1 species